rnacentral:rRNA from 1 species
CCUACGGGAGGCAGCAGUGAGGAAUAUUGGUCAAUGGACGCGAGUCUGAACCAGCCAAGUAGCGUGAAGGAUGACUGCCCUACGGGUUGUAAACUUCUUUUAUAAAGGAAUAAAACGAGGCACGUGUGCCUUUUUGCAUGUACUUUAUGAAUAAGGAUCGGCUAACUCCGUGCCAGCAGCCGCGGUAAUACGGAGGAUCCGAGCGUUAUCCGGAUUUAUUGGGUUUAAAGGGAGCGUAGAUGGGUUGUUAAGUCAGUUGUGAAAGUUUGCGGCUCAACCGUAAAAUUGCAAUUGAUACUGGCAGUCUUGAGUACAGUUGAGGUAGGCGGAAUUCGUGGUGUAGCGGUGAAAUGCUUAGAUAUCACGAAGAACCCCGAUUGCGAAGGCAGCAUACUAAACUGUGACUGACAUUGAUGCUCGAAAGUGUGGGUAUCAAACAGGAUUAGAUACCCGUGUAGUC